GCGGGAUUAGUUAAGUGGUAUAACAUCACUUUUCCAAAGUGAGAUUGGGGGUUCGAUUCCCCCAUCCCGCUCCA
rnacentral:tRNA from 2 species